ACUCGUCUGUGAUUGGUAGAUACGACUAUGGGCAGGACGAAUGGGCAGGCUUGAUCUGUGGGCGUGGCUGCUGUUCCACGCUGACUGAUUGGCUAUCUACGGGUUGUGGGCGUGGGUGUAGCCCCACGCUGACUGACUGGCUAUCUACGGGUUGUGGGCGUGGUGUAUUUGGUGUAGUGGCGUCUCCGUGGGCGGUGUGGGCGCAGGUGGGCGUCAGGAUGCCGGUGUGGGCCGCCUCCACUGAGUAUCUUCACUUUGCUAACUCGGUGGACCCGUAUGAGCUCCUGGGCCCCCGCUCAUCCCGCCUGGCCGCUCAGGGCUCAGGCCAGAUCCAGCUGUGGCAGUUCCUGCUGGAGCUGCUCUCCGACCCCGCCAACGCCUCCGUCAUCACCUGGGAAGGCACAGCAGGAGAGUUCAAGAUCCUCGACCCUGACGAGGUGGCUCGCCGCUGGGGGGAGCGCAAGUCCAAACCCAACAUGAACUACGACAAGCUCUCCCGCGCCCUCAGGUACUACUACGACAAAAACAUCAUGACGAAGGUGCACGGAAAGCGGUACGCCUACAAAUUCGACUUCCGCGGACUUGACCAAGUCCGGCAGCAGCAGACAGCGGAAGCCCAGCGCUACCCAGCGGACUUGAGCUUCCUCACGGGCUACUCCCAGCUGCUAGGAGGUUCCUCCCCACUAGGUGCUGGGCCCCUCACCUCACCCUCCCCUCACCCACCUCCUCCCCUCCUAUCCCCACCGCCGUACUGGGCCGCAGUAUCGUCAGCCGCCGCCCUUGCAACCACCUCGCCCUUAGCAACCUCGUCUCCGCUUGCAACAUCCUCCCCUCUGGCCUCCUCGCCUCCCCUGGGGCUUCACGCCGCUCCCCAGCCCUCUCCCCUCAGUUCCCCUCCCCCUGAGGUCCCCGUCACCACUUCCUCCACCUCCAGGACCCUCCCCCACUACCCGUACUCGUGAGUGACCCACGGGGAGUGGGGGCAGCUUGGCCCCGUACUGGAGGCCGACUGGAACACGAUGGUCAAUAUCAUGUUUAUGCAUCUGACUAGGCGGCCAGAAGAGCAGCGCUAGGAUGUGUUAUAAGUCCUAGCUGCUGAGCUCCGCUAGGGUGUGUGUGUGUGUGUGUGUGUCUCCUAGCUAAUUAUCUCAGCAAUUAUGUAUAUCUCCUAGGUGAUGAUCUCAGCUCUGAUGUACAAGUUUCCACAUGCUGAGUUUUACUAGGAUGUGUGAGUCAUAGCUGCUGAGCUGUGCUGGGAUGUGUGAUUCCUAGCUGAUGAGCUCAGCAUAGAUGCAUAAUUUUCCAUUGGCUGAGUUCAGCAACGAGGUCAGUUUGGCUGGUUGGGAUUCCAGUUAUUCCAGUUCGUAAUUUGUCCACGAAGUUGGUGUACCUCUUGAAUCAGUCGUUACUCCAGAAGGUGAUAUAGCCAUCCUGAAGGUGAUAUAGCCAUCCUGAAGGUGAUAUAGCCAUCCUGAAGGUGAUAUAGCCAUCCUGAAGGUGAUAUAGCCAUCCUGAAGGUGAUAUAGCCAUCCUGAAGGUGAUAUAGCCAUUCUGAAGGUGAUAUAGCCAUCCUGAAGGUGAUAUAGCCAUCCUGAAGGUGAUAUAGCCAUCCUGAAGAUGAUAUAGCCAUUCUGAAGGUGUUAUAGUCAUCCUUGAGAGGGUAUAUAGCCAUCCUGAAGAUGGUCAUAAUCAUUGCAUAAUUGGUCAAGAGCGAAGCAAAAAUGGACAAAGACAUACAAAAGGCAAACUGACUCGUCGAAGGCAAGGCUUCUGUUCCUGGAAUCUCAAUGAACGUAUAGUGAAGCUUGAACAAAGCUGACAUGGGUAUACGCCUCCUCUCUUAGUGUGAACAAAGCUGACAUGGGUAUACGCCUCCUCUCUUAGUGUGAACAAAGCUGACAUGGGUAUAUAUACGUUCUCUCCUAGUGUGACCGAACAUAACACACGUACUUACCAGACCAUACGUACCGGUCUUUGUCACGAUUGGUCUCAGUGUGACCAAUCGUGACAUAGGUACCCCCCCCCCCCUUGUCUCAGUGUGCCAAAACCUCCCGACGUGCACUUGAUAAGGUUCAAAGUUCACAAAAGCAGCUUAAAAAGCAUAAACAUAUCUACAACCUUUCUAGCUUAAAGGCUUCAAGACUUGUGUUGGUAUUGAAAUGCAAAUAAGCUAAUUUUUCUGUUAAUUAAAGAUGUUUGUUUCCAUUUUUAAACACAUACCUGAACAUUGUCGUCAUCUUGAGAUUAAGAACGUUUCAGUUGCCGGCGAUGAGUCACAAAAACGUGACUAAAGUAUGUUGAUCAGACCAUACACUAGAAGGUGAAGGGACGACGACGUUUCAGUCCGUCCUGGACCAUUCUCAAGUCGAUUGUGAGAAUGGUCCAGGACGGACUGAAACGUCGUCGUCCCUUCACCUUCUAGUGUGUGGUCUAAUCAUCAACGUUUCAGUUCUUAUUUUGCGUAUCGUGAACAACACAAAAUAAUGAUAACUGCUAAAUGCUCCUGUGUAAUCAUGUGUAAUGCUCCUGUGUAAUCAUGUGUAAUGCUCCUGUGUAAUCGUGUGUAAUGCUCCUGUCGUUAUUAUUUGUUAACAGAUCUCUAUGGGCAGGUUGAGGUAUUCACUGAGGCACUGGUAGGUAGAGCGACGGCCUCGAUCGCUUCUUUGCAGGGCUCACGUUCGAUUCCCGAAGAUCCCCCCCAGGGAUUGGGAAUCGUUUUCUUCACGCCAUCCUCAUGUUCCACCUUCUUUGCGUCAUGGCCUCUUUCUUAAUCUAUCUUCGUAUCCCUCACCUUAUUUUAUCAUUAUAUCUCUGUUCUAUUUUAACCUUAUAUCUCUAUUCUAUUUUAUCAUUAUAUUUCUAUUCUGCCCUUAUUUCGAAGCUUAAAGUCUAUCCCAUAUCACUUCAAAAUGCUAUAGUCAUACUGGCUUAGAGUAGUCAGACUUAAAUGCUUAGAGGUAUACUGUCAGGCGGUAUACAGCUCUCCCACAGCGUUCCUUUGUCACAGAUCAAAGCAUAUUCCCUCGAUUCUCUCUCUUGGAGUAUACCGAGUCUCCUCCGCUUCCAUCAACCGUUAUUCUCACGGCCGCCGCUCCACCAUAACCGGCCUUUGUUUAUCCGACAUUUCUUGUAUGCAGCAUCCCCUGUAACCGGCAUAGUGUUAAGCUGACCUUUUUCUUCCAUUUAACUUACAAUGCGUAAAAGUUUUUUUUGGGGGGAAAAGAAAUUGUGUUAUUUUCUUUGGUGGUUCCAUUGGUAUUAACACCUACAUUGUGCUUCCACUGGUAUUAUCACCUACAUUGGUGUAAACAGACAUACACUCAGGGCCAUUGGUACACACACACUCAUGUCAUUCACUCUGUGAGCCUCAUGCAGCAGUUGUAUCAUAUACACGUAAACAGUGAAUGCGGUACGAGUCUUGUAUUGGCUAUUUUUUUUUUUGGUUUUGUUUUGUCCUUGGGGAAAACCUUUAGAUCUCACUACAGCUGUUGUGAAAUCUUUGUGUACAUAUGUCGUAAUGUUCAAUGGCGCGUCGUGUUGUAUAUCUAGCCACUAGUAUUUGGGGCUUCUGUGCAUUAGCUAGUUUGUAAAUACCGAAGACCAGUUGCUGAGUAAUGUAUGGUCGAGAUAGCAGGUAGUAGUACCCCAGACCAGCUGCUCUGUAACCCGUGUUUAAGGUGCCAUAAUAUAACUCGUCAACAGAGAGCUAACCUCUGGUAAUUCUUCUUUGAGAGGGGAAACACGUGUCGAUCGAGUUUAUAAAUUAAUUUAUCCUAAUGUAUUCCGUGAAAUUAGGCUAAUGUGUUAUGUGACAGUAUCCUAGUGAAUUCUGAGAGUUAUUCUAUUGUAUUCUGGUUGAUGAUCCCUAUACUUUAACUCCAACCCUCGACUCUAGUCAGGGAAAGUGUUGAUUUUCAGUUAUUUGGAAUGUAUCGCGAAAUUAGCAGGUCUGUAUCUCAUGUCCUUCGCAACUAUGGUGCAUAUAGCAUCUAAGAUGGACAUGUACAUAAUGUGUACAUAAUAAGUACAAAAGAUGGAGAAUGGCAUAAAAAUAGUCUAUAUUUUAUACUUUUGGAAUUGAAAGUGAAAACUAGAAACAGAAACCUAAUCCCUAACCUAAAUAUUCCAGAUCUAAUACAGUACAUUUUUUUGUACUAAAUAUUUCUAACAUUGGACAUAUUUUAGGCCUAGAAAACAUUAAGUUAGGCCUAGGGUAGGUUAGAGUACGUUUCAAUUAUGUUCCUCUUUCAAUACCAAAAGUUAAAAAAUGCGGUCUGCUUUUGUUACCAUAGUACAUAUUAUGUAAAUAUUAUGUACAUAUAUGUACAUGUGAUCAUUCUUCGCUAUAUACACUGUUACUGCUCAGGACUGAUUGCUUAUCCUAAUGUAUUCUGUGAAAUUAGGCUAAUAUAUUCUGUGACAGUAUCCUAGUGUAUUCUGAGAUUUAUUCUAUUGUAUUCUGGCUUAAGUUGAGCGGUCAAACAACUUCAUCGGUAUCGCAUUCCGACGCCAGCAACUUUUUCCUCCAGAACGUAAUCGUAAGCGUAAUUACGAGAUCGUAAUUCGUUGCAUGGAACCUGACUUAAGGUAUCAAUCAGUGAUUUCGGGGACUUCAGAUGUCACCCAGUGGCGUUAAGAACGUAACUUAAAGUUAUGAAACUGCACCAUUAUUACCAACUUAUUCAGUUUACUGUAACUACUGUUGAGUGUAUAUGCAAAACAAAGUACCGAGGAGUACAGAAGGAAUUAAAAGGUACUUAGAGAAAAAUAAAGGAAUACAAAAAGAGAAUGGGGAAUAGAGGUAAUUAGGUAGGAUUUGAGGCCAAAAUAGGGAUGAAAACCCUUACACAAUUUCACAUCAAAGGACGUAGUUGUUGUACGUAGUUGGAUGAAAUGUAAAUACACAAAAAAAAAAAACGAAAAAUCCUUUUUGCAAGUUGGCGAAAGCAGGACAAAAAUGAUAGUUUGAGGUCCAAACUGCAUUGCAAGUUUGCAAUGAUCUCAGAUCUAACACUACCGUAAAGGAGAGGCUAUUUUAGGUUAAGUUAGGUUAGGUUAGUUUUGGUUAUGUCAGGUUAGGUUAGGUUAGGUUAGGCUAAGUUAAGGUAGGUUGUGUAGUGUUUUCACAACGUUUAUUUAUUUGUGUGUGGAUUGCCUAGCACAUCCCCCCCCCCCCUGCUCCACCGCACACAGUUCUUAAAUAUUGUAUAUUAACAUUCAUCCCCUGGCUGAAUUCACUCAUCAUUUUGUAGUUGUUGAUAGAUUGAAUCUAUUCAAUUGAAUAGACUGAAUACUUUCCUUGAUAGUUGUCGUUAUGAAUAUGGCGCAUCAGUAUGAAGCAAUGACUGGCAGUCGUGUGUGUGUGCGUGUGUGUGUGUGUGUGUGUGUGUGUGUGUGUGUGUGUGUGUGUGUGUGUGUGUGUGUGUGUGUGUGUGUGUGUGUGUGUGUGUGUGUGUGUGUGUGUGUGUGUGUGUGUGUGUGUUUGGGCCAUCGCAAUAAAGCUUCAGGAUUUUCUGCUGAAGCUUACAUUGUAAUUUUAUUAAUGAACUGCUUGGAACUACACACACUGACUAAUUACUUGUAUUGAUGGGUAGUUCCAGGUACACGCACAAUACACUACACACACACACACACACACACACACACACACACACACACACACACACACACACACACACACACACACACACACACACACACACACACACACACACACACACACACACA
rnacentral:misc_RNA from 1 species